rnacentral:lncRNA from 1 species
AACACUAAAAUCUCGAACUUAUAAACUUCAAAUUCUGACUCUUGUCUCUCCUUGUGGUUGUGUUUUAGGCCCCAUUCAAGCAUAAACUAAUUUGGCCAAAUGUAUUUUUGGUAUAUUCAACUAAAAGCUUCCUCAAAAUUACAGCUAAAACAAAAAUUCUAAAAAAGUUGGAUUGAAAUGGAAUGCAUAACCACUUUACCUCCAUCAAUUAGAACAGGGGAAUCACAACUAAAGUAAGCUUCUUUUUAGAUGAGGAAACUCACAUGGAGAUAUAAUGAUAAAACAUAUCCAUCAAGGUGACUUUAAUGUUAUAAUAUAGGAUAAUAUAUAGGAUGAUAUGUAAUUUGUUAAACUAGUGAAAAUUCACAAGUAUAGAUAUCAACACUAUACAAUUCAAUUAAUUGAAAGUCAAAUAUACUUAGUUAGAUAUCAAAAAUAUCCAAAUUUGAACUUGCCAAUAUUUAGAGGACUAAAAGUGCAAACUUCCCAAAAGUCAAAAGGAAAUUAAAAACACAAAUUUAACUUUUUAAUUUUAUUUUAUUUCUCAAAGAAUUAGCAAUAAAAACCAAAGUUAUUUAUAUUCCCUCCAAAUUAAAAUUUGUCACAUUUCAAUUAUCGUCUUAUCGAGAGUCAAACUACAUAAAAAAUUGUACACUUUUACUUGUCACGUUUCAUGAGAUUCAAUUUGAUUAAUUUUCAGAGUUAAAUUUGAUUAAAUUAAUUCAAUAUAUCAAAUAUUAAAUUUAUACAUUCAAAACAUACAAAAAAUAAUAUAAGAUGCAAUUCUCUUUCAUCUUAAAAUAUUGGUGAAAGUUAAUACAAUUUAAUUCUCAAAAAGAAAAACGUGACAAGUAAAAAUGAAGCGUCCCAAUAUUUUGGGAGGCAAAACUAUAAGGAAAAAAAGAGGACAUACAAGUUUGCUUCCAUCAAGGAGAAUUUGGGGAUUUGGAAACACUAAAAUAAAGUUCUUUCUUGGAAGAAUAAGCCAAAAAAAGUUUCUGGGGAACUUCGAGUAUAUACGUACUAAUGGGAUGAGCUAACAAGAGGAGAAACCCUAGUUAUCUGAGAUCAUCCUAUAGAUUCCGUAAAAGUCAUUAUAUCACCAGAUCAUCAAUGACUAGUGUAUAAUGGAAGACAACUAUCCAGUCGGUCAUACCAAACAUUGACAUUUUAUGGCGUUUAGAAUGAUACAACCAUGCAUUUAGUUGGUCAAAUGCAAAGCAUAUAUCAUCUUCAGGCAUGGCAAAUAAUAAAUGACAUAAUUUCAAAAAAUCAAAAAUCUUUUCAAAAUGGCAGAUUUAUUUUUGAAAUCAUGUCACUGAUUAUUUGUCAUGCCUAAAAGAUGAGAUGUGCUCCACGUUUGACCAACUGGAUAUAUGGCUGUAUCAUUUUUAACGCCAUAGAAUGUCAAUGUUUGGUGACUGGAGAGCUGUCUUCCAUUGUACACUGUCGUUGAUGAUAUGGUGGUAUACUAGUGAUCAACCUGAAUUGAUUGUAAAUGACUUUUAUGGAAUCUGUUGAAUGAGCUCGGAUAACUAGGGUUUCUCCUUUUGUUAACGAUUGAACAAAAAUCUGAAUUGAAGUUGGAUCAGUUCUCUUUCUCUUUCUGAUAAGGGAUGAAUAAGUUUGAUCAGAUAAAACUUGAUCAAGCUUACGACUAGUUAAUGGUAGAGCUAUGGAGGUUAUAGCCGGUGGUGCUGCGGCGGAUGUUAUCACAUAACCGCGAAGUAAAGUGAAAAAGGGUAAUGAAAAUGGUGGUGUGGUUUAGUUUAAAACUUAAGAGAUCAAUUUAUAGAACUAAAAUUAGAAAAAGGUCAAAAAGAUCAUUAAUGUAUGAAUAAUAAAUUGUGAAUAAAAUCUUUUUAUUAAAGAUUUUCCCAAAAUGGUCAAUUGGUUAUCAAUUAGAUUGUCCCCUAAAAUUAAUGGUCUUAUUUUUUCUAUUUCAAAGUUCUUUUUUGGGGCAAUUAAAUUUAAUGACGAGUCCAUUAAUUGUGAAUAAAAUCUUUUUAAAAAGAUUUUCCCCAAAAUGGUCAAUUGGUUAUUAAUUAGAUUUUCCCCUAAAAUUAAUGAUCUUAUUUUUUCUAUUUCAAAGUUCCUUUUUGGGCAAUUAAAUUUAAUGAUGAGUCCAUCCUACUGAGAAACAUUUAUUAGCCAUUGUAGUGGUUAAACUAGUUUGUUGAAAAAGUAUAUAAAUGCAUCAAAGUGGUCAAGAUCAAUAUAUUCAUUAAUGAUAUACAUCAUUAAAUUUUGUCAUUUUUAUAUGAUAUACAAUAAAAUCUUAUUAAAUUAAUAGAGGUGGAAUCAUAAAAUACUACUUUCUUAAUUUCAAAAUAAGUGAAUUGUUAUGGCAAUGCACAUCCAUUAAGAAAAAGAAAGUUUAGGACAUAAAAUAAACGUCACUUUCCACUUUUCCCCUUUUAGUUAUUCUCAAAAUAUUCUUAAAAAUAUAAAUAAUUCAAAGUAAAAAAAUCAUAAAUAUGAUCAAAUAACUCUCUUAAAGUUAUCACCUAGAAGAUACAAAUGAGGAGUAAAAAUGGAAAAAUUUCCUAACAACUCUUUUGAGUUUUAAACAAUUCACUUAUUUUGAACUAUGAAAAAAGACUCAACAAUUUACUUAUUUUGAAAUGGAGGGAGUAUUAUUUUGUAGAAGUAUUAUUUAAUCGAUAAAAGAGUGUUUUGAGAUUCAAUAAAGGUUAAUUUUGAUUACAUCAAGACCACUGUAUCUUACUAAUUUAUGUAUCAUAUUCAUUGAAAUUCACAUAAAAAAAUUAUUAUACAUAAAGUACAAUGAAUACAUCACUAUUAUUGUAUCUUAAUAAUUUAUGUAUCAUAUUUAUUGAAUUCAUAUAAAAAAUAAAUUCAUUAUACAUAAAGUACAAUGUAUAUGCAUGAUUCAUUGUAACAUAUUUUUUUGUUAAAUAAUUCAUUGUAAAAUAAAUUCAAGAAACCAAUGAUUCAUUGUAAAAAUAAAUUCACUCUACAUAAUGUUCAUUGUUUUUUAAUAAUCAAAUAUUAUUUAUUGUAUCUUUACUAAAAUAUUCAACGUGUGAUGGUGAGAAUAAACUAUACAAGAAACACAUAAAAUUUCUUGAAACCAUAUCCAAAAAUGGCUUCUCAUUUAAAAGAUGUCACAAAAUCAAUAAUGACAGAUCAAAUACGUAAAACAUUAUGUGUAUACAAAACUAAUCAUUCCACAUGCACUAAAAAAUUCGCCACUAACAAUUCUUCGUUUGUUUUGUAUUUGUAUUUGUAUAUGACGGUGAUUUCCUUUGGGUUUUUAGUUUUAUUAUCAAAUACAUUCAAAUUUUUUAUAACUUUUUAAAGUUUGUAUAAACAUGUAGUUUUCGAAAUUUGUAUAACAUAAUUUGUAUAACUUUUGUAUAAUAUAGUUUGUAUAACUGUUUAAAGUUCAGAUGUUUGUGUUUGUAUAAAUUUAUUAUUUCAAAUUUUAUCAUAUUUGUAUAAUUCCGAAAUUUGUAUUACUCCAAAAAACAGAUCCAAUUUUAGAUCUACAAUUGUACCCAUAUUUGUAUAAAUCCGUAAUUGUAUAUUUCUAUAUUUUGCUUAUACAAAAUAUAUACGUACAAAAGCCUACCAACAUAAUCAUCUUAUACAAUACGGACAAAAAUAACUCAAUAUACAAAUACAGGCGAAUUAUACAAACGUAUCCGCAAAUUAUAUAAACGUGGUGCGAAUUAUAUAAACGAGUAAGCUAUAGCUACAACCUGUAAAUAUGCAAACUAUAGCUAAGGAGCCUAAUUAAGUUUCUUAUAUUGAUUAUUUGCAAAAUUUCCCCUACUUCAAAUAAAAGAUAAAAUUCAAAUUUAGUAUGUGAAAUUGUUUUUGAGAUAUAUUGAUAUCGAUAUGAAAUUAUAUAAUUCUAUAGCAAAUCAAUAUAGUUGGUUACAUUAUUGUGUUGAGCAAUGUCACAUCCAAGAAUGUAUGACAUGUGGAUUGGAAUAUUCGAUUGGAUUAAAUUAAAAAAUGAAUAGAAGGAAGGGAAAUUAAGUGAAAUGAAAGCAAGCAAGCAUUAUCCAAUAAUGUGCUUUAUCCUUUUCAUCUAACCUUUCAUUCGCCAAAUUUUGAACACUCUUUGUCAAAACUAUUUGUUUCCAUUUUGGUUUAUGCUAAAUAUUUUUUCGGUUCAUUUUUAAUUAUUCAUUAUAUUAAAAAUAAAAGAAAUAUUUAAAAAUAUCACUGAACUUGACAUAAAUUAUUAAUUUCAUCCUCUAAAUUAUUGAUAGUUUUAAAAACAUCGCUCUACUUGACUAACUCAAGUACAAUGGUUAGUCAAGUAGAGUGGUGUUUUUAAGACUAUCAAUAUUUCGGAGAUGAACUAAUAGUUUACACCAAAUUUAGUUGUGUUUUCAAUACUUCUCAUUAUUAAAAAUAGGUAUUCACUUUUAUCUAUUCAUAAAAUUAAGAGAUAAUUUGUUAUAUAUUCUUUUUAUUAUUAUAUACUAUUCAUUUAUAAAAUUAAAUUAUAUUGAUUUGCUUGAGCCGAUAGUCUUAUGAAAAUAACUUCUUUAUCUGAAAGAGUUAGUGAUCAUGAUUGUCUACACUCUAUCCUCUCACUAUUUAACUUAUCAUUGUUAUUAUUAUUAGUAGUAUAAGAAGUGUUUCAAAUCAACAAUAGUCUGAUGAACAUGAAUUGAGUGGAAGUAGAGGCGAAGCUAGAAAGGGCACGUGAGAUUCAUCCGAGCACCUAAUAUGAUUUACACAUGAUUAAAUUUAUAUAUAUAGAGAGAGAGUCUCCGUCUGUGUCACUGUAUUUUGGUAAAUAAUGAAAAUUCUAAAGCCGCCACUAUCACUGUGCUGUGUGUGGGAGUAGUAAAGGGACCCCCAAAUGUCCACUUGCUCUGUAUUUUUUUCAUAAAAAAUGGAGCAAUUUUGGACCAUUCAGCCAUCGGAAGUUCCAAUAGGCGAUGUGUUUUGGACUCUUCUAAUUCACACUUUGCCUAUUCUCAAAACCCCACCAUUGAAUUUCUUUUCUCCAUUUUUUGGUUGGAGAUGAUGAAUAAUAUGGAAGAUGAGUACAUUAGGAGACACCAUAGGCAUGUGCUCAACGACAAUCAGUGUAGUUCUUCACUUGUUAAACGCAUCAGAGCUCCUGUUAAUCUUGUAAGCUUAAUCCAUUUUGUACUUGAUCUUUCAUAUUUUCUCAGAUCUAUAUGCGGUCAUCUUGUUACAAAGGCUUUCUAGGAUUUUUCAUAUAGGUUGGUUACAUUGUAGAAAAAUAAGAUUUGGGAUUUUAUCUUUUUUUUUUGUAAAAAAAAUUGGUCGAAUUGUGUAAUUUAUGAUUUUGCUGCUAUUUUGAAAUUUGAGGUAAAGAAGAAAAAGAACGUAUUUUUAUGUGGAAGAUAGUGUUAAUUGCUUCAAUGAAGUGGGUUGAGAAUCACCAGGGGUUUCAGGUUCAAUUUCUAGCAGAGACAAAAAUAUUAGGUGAUUCUUUCCAUCUGUCUUGAGCUUUGGUGGAUAGAGUUGCCGAGGUGCGUGUAAGCUGCCACAUAUGCUACAGUUAUAAAAAAGGAUGUGUAAGGUAGUGCUAAUUGUUUCGUUACCUAGAAUGUUUGCAUGGUUUGACUUUGGAGUUGGCCUUGGUAAACCAAAUUGGAUUAUGUUUUUGAUUUCAUGUGUAGCUAAUUAUUGGAUGUGGGACUGACUGUAACAUAUAUGUUCUUAUGGAGCUCUUACUGGUUUGGUAUGUUUCAUAGGUAUGGUCAUUGGUGAGAAGGUUUGAUCAACCACAAAGGUACAAGCCAUUCGUUAGCAGAUGCGUUGUGCAAGGGGACCUUGAAAUUGGGAGUGUGAGAGAAGUGAAUGUUAGGUCGGGUCUUCCAGCUACCACCAGCAAGGAGAGGUUAGAGCUUCUAGAUGACGAGGAACACAUCUUUGGCGUUAAGAUUGUUGGUGGAGAUCACAGGCUUCAGGUAUGCAUCUUUUAUUUUCUCAUAGAAAAUACAUGGGUACUAUUGAUGCAUUGGAUAGAUUAUAUAUGUUGGCUAAAUUGUCACAUCAGGUGUUUUUUUGUAUCUUAUGAUAUUGAAUAAGUGAAGUUGAGUUUAUUCAGUGAAAAAGGAAUAUAGAAUUCAAGUGUGUAUUUAAUGGUAAGAAACCAUGUUUUCCACUAACCUUCUUGCAUCUGCAUAUACUUCAAUAACACUGACAACUAUAUCUCCUUCUCUUGUUGUAGUUGGGUGAGGGACAUGCUUUUCAUUGUAAAAGAUUUUUACGUACUUGAAUCUUUGCUAUUUUCUCUCAGUUACUCCAACUAGAGAUGAUGUUACCACCAUUCAACUAUGCUGAUUAUCCUCUUUCUCCUUCUCACCUCUAAUUUUAUUUUUCCUGAUCGGCUUCUUCAACUAGAACACUAACAACAACAACAUACCCAGUGUAAUCCUAUAUGCCGGGUCUAAGGAGGUUAAAGUGUAUGCAGACCUUACCCUACCUCGUGGAGGUAGAGAGGCUGUUUCUGAAACCAGAAUACUAACUAUCACAAUAUACGAGGUAAAUUUUAACAUUCUAUUCUGAAAGAGCUGGUAAAUAUCAAAGACUCCUUAUACGUUAAGCAUCCAUUAUGGGGUGAGAGUCACAAGGUUAUACUCCCUCCGUCCCAUUUUAUGUGGCACCAUUUCCUUUUUGGUCAGUCCCAAAAAGAAUGUCACAUUUCCUUAUAUGGUAAGUAUUUAAAGGUACAAUUCCUCUUUUACCCUUGUUGGUCCCACUUAAUCUUAAAGAUAGUACUCCAAUACAUUUAUGAGGAGAGAGAAAAGUGAGUCUACUUUUUAAUAUGACUAUUUUUUGAAGGGGCAAUUUGGUAAACAUUUCAAAGUCUUCAUUUAUUUCUUAAACUUCGUGCUUGGUCAAAUGUUGCCACAUAAAAUGGGACGGAGGGAGUAUUAUUUUAUAAAUGUAUGCAGACAGAAUUUGAACUUGAAACUUCAUGUUUUCAGCAUUCAUUUAUGUCACCUUUGCUUAUUCAAAUGCCUUCACGGUAUGUGUGUGUGUGCGCCUGAUAGAGAGAUCUUGAUUGAUUUUAAAGUAGGGGUGGGAAAAGCACAAACAAUGAAGUUUUGAGUUAGAAGUUACCUGAGAUGUUUUAUAGUGAUCAUAAAGUGUCCAUUCAAUAAAGAAACUCAAGCUUGAGCCUAAAGAAUGUCUGCUGAAGUUUAGAUGGAAGUAACUUGAGUUUUACUCGCACCUUGUCUGCUUGUCAUGUACAACCAUCUUCUUUAUUACCCCAUAAUUGUCUUACUCAGUUAAUACUUAUGUAAUUGUGUUUGAAUAUCACAUGGAACGUGCUUGCAUAAGACGUUCCAUACUAUUCUUAUUACUUUUUCUUGAGCAAUAAUGAGCCUCCUAUCCCAUUUUACAUGAUGGUGUUUGACUGUAUCAGUAUGAAAUUUUUUGACACAUAAACUAAAUAUAUCAAAGUACUAAAGUUGACCUUGAUAGCAACAAUUAAAUGGGAGAUGGUAAGAGUUCCACAUUUCUCUUCAUCUCCUGUUUAAUAAAAAAAAUCAGUUCCAAAUAAGUCAUGUCAAUAGCAUUUAAAAUGGGAUGUCUAUCUUUUUACACAAACUAAAGAGAAAAGAGUGUCACGUAAGCUGGAAUAGAGGAAGUUGUAGUAUUUUUCAAGUUAGAUCCCACAUGGUUUGUGUUGUGGAACUUUAGCGGCUCAGACGGUGAGCAUGUUGAACUGUUCCAUUCAUCAAAUAUUCUGUUCUUCAUUUACUGUUCCUUGAUUAGGAAAUGGAGAGGUGAAUGCCUGGUCAACCUUCCCUCAUAGCAAGAGACGUUUCUGUGGUUUCGUUUCUUGAAGAGUCAUCGAUGCAGACCUUCCAUGAGGGUAUAGCAUGGGAUGUAGGGAUCCUUUUACCUGUAUAAGAUUUCACAACUUCUAGUUCUAUCAUCUCUGAGUGUGUAAUGCUAAUAUUUGGUAACUGGAACGAUGAAAAACAAAAUGACCUGCUGAACAUGAAUUUGUAAGAAUGGUUAGAUAAUUUUCCUCUGGGAGAGGGCAGAGACUAAUGCUAAGUCCAAAUAAUCUACCUCACAUCAUCUUAACUCCAAUUUAUUGAACUUCUGGUGUAAUAGUAGUUGGAUUGACAAUGAAGAUCAUACUUCUUUGAUUUUUUUAUUCCUUAUGGGGGUGAAGAUGUAAUGCUGUAAUCUUUUGCCUUUUCUACUUCCCAGUGCCUUGGUACAAUUUAUAAUGAAAUUUACCUUACCGUGUGAAAAAUAAAAGUUUAUUGAGCUUUGUGUAUACUCCUUUUCUUUCCAUGGUCUUAUGACUCUUAUCAUGUGCAUGUACACUCAUUAGGUUUGGUGUUCGUCAGGAGUCUUUUGAUUUGUUUAGUUCCUUUGUGUACCACUAGACAAUGUAGAGAAUCUUUUAUAGACCUCUAAUUUUUUCUUAAAAUACACAUUUAUUGAGUAUUUGAAUGAAGCAGCUCUAGAUGGAGUUAUUUCAAGUUAUUUUACUUCCAGAAAGAAAGAAGUUCCAGAUGGAGUGGAAUGAAUGUUGAAAAUUCUUAAAGCCAUCAACAACUAGUUUUGGAUUAAGGUAGUAACAGUUGUAGUUGUUGGACUGAUUGCUCAGAUGGGUAGCAUAUUGAACUGUUCCAUGGUUGCUUUUUGGCUAAAAAAUGGAGAACUAAGACGUGAAUGCAAGGAUAGCUUUUCCUCCAUGAAAAGAGGGGUUUCUGUUGUUUCAUAUCAGCGAAAAUGUGGCAUGGGAUGGUUAGGACCAUUUUUCCAAAACAAGAUUGUGCAGCUCCUCUCUACCCCUUCUCUUAUUAAGUAUGUUAUCCAAACAUCUGAUUAAUCAAAUGAUGCAAAAGUAAAAGGACCUGCUUAGAGUAUGAAUUGUAAGAAUCGAUAAAUAAAUCCCCUAUGCUUGCUCAUUUCAAGUCCAAGGAACCUACCUUGCGUUAUCUAAACUCAAUUUAUUAAGCUCUCUAUGAACUCCGUUUCUUUCUUGUCUUUUUCUGUUUCUUUACCAAAUACAUAUAACUCAUCAUGAAAAUAUUGUGCUUCCAUUUACAUAAUGUGAGCCAGCUUUUCUUCCACGCUGUGUAGUAAAAUUAUGGUAGUAUGUUUUUGCAUCAUUUUCUGUUGGAAAGCACAAGUAUUACUCAAUAUUUAUAAACUGAACUCGUUAGCAAGUGAUUUCUCGUUUUCUUUGAAAACAUGGCAGAACUACUCAUCAAUUAUCACUGUUCAUCCCGAGGUCAUUGACGGGAGACCUGGAACAAUUGUAAUCGAGUCAUUUGUAGUAGACAUACCAGAUGGGAAUACUAAGGACGAAACAUGCUUCUUUGUGGAGGCCCUCAUCCGGUGUAACCUCAAAUCGUUAGCUGAUGUAUCAGAGCGUUUGGCGGUGCAGGGCCAUACCGAACCUAUUGAUAGAAUGUAGCUUCACAGUUUUUACCAAUGCAGCAGCGUGGGCUUAUACGUUUUUGCUGCUGGAGCAUACAUGGAUUUUGAUUAGGUGAGUAGAGCGACUGGUAUUAUGAUUGUCCUCCUCGAUCUCAGACGAGUGUGUGUAUAUAUAUAUUUUUUUGUUGAUGCUUCCUUUUAAUCAUCUGAAGGUCACCUCUGUUCUUUAACAUGCAACCAGAUUAUUCUUGCAAUGGCUAUUUCUCAUUGUGAAGAACCAGUACUGAUUCUGGCUGUGCAAGAUAUUGAGCCUUGUAAAUAUUUGCUACUGGAUGAGCUUUUGUUGUCAUAAGAAUCAUAUCCUACUCUGCUGUGGCAAAGGCGUGCGUGCUAUACACUCGUCUCGUCUAGAGGCUGAUGUGCUAAUAGUAUUCCCUAGACUGUAACUGUGCCUUAUUUUGUUUUUGUACUUGUACAAGAAAAAAGUUCCUUGUUUGUUGUUGUAUCUUUCACCCUUCAUGCUGUGUUGUAUAUGAUUUCAUGGUGCAUUAUUUGUUCCCAAGAACAUGUGGAUUUCUGAAGCAAUUUGUAUUUCCCUUCAUUUCAUCCCCUGUAAGAAUGUGAAGGGAGACUUCCAAGAGCCAAGAAUAACAAAAGAUUACCUCUUUUCUUAGGGUGUUUUUGAUACGAAGGAAAAUAUUUUCCAAUUUUCUCAUGUUUGAUUAGUGUAAAUAUUUUCCAAAUUAACUUAUUUUCCUCAAAUUUAAGGAAAAUGACUGACCUUAAAAAAGUAAGGAAAACAUUUUUCAAAAUUACAUUGAACCUCACACCUCAAGUUUCCAUACUAACUUAAGUUUUGGUUAUUGAUUCCAAGUACUAAUCCUAGAUAUGACUCCUGAUUCUCAAUUCGACUUUGGGCGUGCACAAGUAGAUACUUAAAUUUAUAUAAAAUUAAAUAAAUAGACACACGCGUCUUACGUCUAUGCCACGUAAGACACAAAUUACCCUGUAGGAUGCAUGUGUAUAUUUGUUCCAUUUUGUAAAGUUUAAGUGUCUACUAGUCUCACACCCAAAGUAAGAAGACAUAGAUAUCAACUGAGAUCAAGUUAAAGAGCAUGUUUAUGUAUUGGGCCAAUAUAAAAUGCUUCAUUUCUUGCGGGCAAGUUGAAAUUCUGCGGGCUAAAGACAAAACUCGUACCCUCGCUGCCCCCAUCCACUUGCCAUCCUUGUGAAAAUGCUUUUCUUUCCCUAAGCUUAUGUUGAAAAAUGCUAUGGUUAACUACUUUUUUUUUGUUGUUUUCCAUGUUACAUUAAGGGCCAAAAGAGAAGCUAUUGUGAUUUUGGGAAGAACACAUAUCAGAAAGUUACAAAUGAGAGGCUUAUUAGAUGUGUAUUAUUUGAGAACAACAGAGCAACGUUUACGGAAUCAACAUAAUUCAAUGUUAAAUAAAACAUCUUCACUAGUAUAAAUAAUAGCUUGCUCCCUCUAACAUUCCUCACCAACAUUCAAACACUAAAACAUUAGUAUCACUAGAAACAUUCAGGUAUAAAAAAAAUGGCCUUGACAUUCAAUUGGAAGUUUGCUUUUGCAGCUCUACUAGUAUUGGUUAUGCAGGCUUCUCAAGCCACAUCUCGCGAUUUGUAUGAAGCCUCAAUUGUCAAGAAACACGAGCAGUGGAUGGUACGCUUUGGGCGUGUGUACAAAGAUGAUGAAGAGAAGGCAAAAAGAUUCAAAAUAUUCACGGAUAACACUGAGUACAUUGAUUCUGUCAAGAUGGCUGGCAUCAAGCCUUACAAGUUGGACAUCAAUGAAUUUGCUGAUUUGACGAAUGAGGAAUUCAGAGCCACUCGUAAUGGGUAUAGAAUGACUUCUCAAAAGAAAUCCCCUGAAAUCACAUCAUUCAAAUACGAAAAUGUAACUGCUCCAGCUACUAUGGAUUGGAGAAUGAAGGGUGCUGUUACUGGAAUUAAGAAUCAAGGGCAGUGUGGUAAGUUAACUCAUGGUUAUAUAACUGCCUUUUAAAUAUGAAUCACUACUAGAAACAAAGCUUUUUCCUAUCACGAAUCAGUGGGAAAUUUGUACUAUACAACAUGAUUUUCCCGGUCAUUUCCCAUCGAAUCAGGUGGGAAACAGAUUCUCACUGAGAUAGUGGGAAACUUCCUAAUUUUUCCGUAUGAAAACAUACUAUUUUUUCUUCUCUCAUGGAUUCAAUCAAAAUAUCUGUGGGAAUAGUCACUAAACAUUUUUCAGUAGGAAUCUGCAAUAUACUAAAAACUAAUUGACCUUAUUAUAUUAUUUAGGAUGUUGCUGGGCAUUUUCUGCUGUUGCUGCCACAGAAGGAAUCAACAAGAUCAAAACUGGUAAGUUGAUUUCUUUAUCCGAGCAGGAACUCGUGGACUGUGACACGAGUUCGGAUAUGGGAUGUGAAGGAGGUCUCAUGGAUGAUGCAUUUAAGUUUAUCAUCAAGAACCAUGGGCUUACUACUGAAUCCAAUUACCCAUACCAGGGAACGGAUAGCACUUGCAAAACCGGAAAGGAAUCAAGCCAUGCUGCAAAGAUUACUAGCUAUGAAGAUGUUCCAGCUAACAGUGAGCCUGCUCUACUAAAAGCUGUAGCUAACCAACCUGUAUCUGUCGCGAUUGAUGCUAGUGGAUCAGAUUUUCAGUUCUAUUCAAGCGGUGUUUUUACUGGAGAAUGUGGAACUGAGUUAGAUCACGGUGUUACAGCAGUUGGAUAUGGUGAAGCUAGUGAUGGGACGAAGUAUUGGUUAGUGAAGAACUCGUGGGGAACGAGUUGAGGUGAGAAUGGUUACAUUAGAAUGCAAAGAAAUGUUGAUACUGAGGAAGGACUCUGCGGAAUUGCAAUGGAAGCUUCUUAUCCAACUGCUUAAGUACAGAAAUUAUGAACUGGUCUUGUCUACAUGUUCAUAAUUUAAGUGGUGCAUCCAGAAGGAUCGGACCAGGACUCUGUGUAUGUUAUAGGUUUGUUUAUACAAUUUGAAGUAUUAAAACAAAAGCUUAUAUGUAAAACCACUGUCAAUGUGAUGAAAUUAUACUUUAUUACCUUCCAAUAUAUUUGUUUAUACUCGAUAGUCUCGAAUCGUUUCUUCCUGUUUUUUAUAUUCACUGCAUCAACCAAAUAACUAAUUGAAUUUACUCACUUAGCCUACUGACUAUCGUUCUUACGUUGUGUUUUUGUCUAAUAAACUUAUGACAGAGGUAUCAGCUCAUAGUCUAACAAACAUAUUGGUAACAGCUAAUUGAUAAAUUUAUCAGGGGUGUGAAUAAGUGUACUUCAAUCCGACCAUCUUACUUACUUCGAUCGGAUGAGUCCUAGUGAGGGAAUAAUUAAGUCAUGUGAUCCCUUUGAAUUCCAUAUUUGAAGUUGUGAUCGGAUCUAUUCAUUUAAAAGAGUCGAUUCAAUACAUUUCUUAUGUACCCAUAUGUGCUAUGGGAUUUGAAUUAGAUUUGGAUCAAUCUAUAUCGAGUAACUGCCACCAUUAUGGUUUUGCUAGCGAAUACCACUAUUUUGGUGUGGUUCUCUACACCUAGAACACCAAAUGGAAAAUGAGCAUUUCCUGGUUCAAACAUGCUGAAUCUUGACUGAAUCAUCAUUUAUCAGGACUCUUUGGCUUAAGUUCUGCUAAAAUGUCACACAUCGGUAGAGGGAUAGGAAUUUGGUCUCCUUAUAUGGCCUUGGACAAACCUCCCCUCAUGAGCUAGCUUUUAAGGUUGAGUUAGGCCCAAGUGUUAUAUCUUUACAAGUUCCUUCUUUAGUAUUCAUGAAUUAAUAGCAAGAAGUCGUAUUUUAUAGACUAUAAAACAAGAUAGUAAUGUAGAUAAAGACACAAGGAUUUAUCCUGGUUCGACCCAAACUAGUGGCCUACGUCGUCUAGUCUUCCUUGACAUGGGAGGGAUUUUCACUGUUAUACACUUAUUUCCCUCAUUUAUAAUCAACGAUUGAUUUUAACAUGAUCAAGUGAGUAUGGUUUUAAGCACAGUCACACAAACUACUAUAAUUAUGAUUUUCUACUCGUCCACUACCAACGGUUCAGAUUGCCUGCAUGUUCUAUCACUCGAACACUAGGAAUUUUUCAAAAGAAAGUGGUGAGGGUAUUGUAACCUCUUAACACAACAUGGUUUCCUAUUGCAGUCAACAUCCCUUCAUUGGGAUUGAUUUGCUUUAUUCCCUUUUAUUAUUUAGCCUUCAACUUUCCUUCAGUAUAGUAAUAAAGAAUCGAUUGUAAUUUGCAAUCAGGACAACAUUAUGGUCAUGUACUCCACUGCUAAGAUUAUGGGAAGAAAAAAUAUCAGAAAGCUACAAAUGAGAGGCUUAUUAGUAUAUAUCAUUGGAGGACAUCAGAGUAGCAUGUACGGGGUCCAUCUUCGUUGUCACAAUCACAUGUAGCAUACCGGGCAUUCCAGGGAACUCAAUUUACCAUGAGAAAAUGUUAACAUUAACAACACCUGAAGUCCUAUAUAAAUUCCUUGCUCCUUCUUGAACUUUUCAUCAACAUUCAAACACACACAUAUUAGUAUCACUACAAAGGUACGAGUAGCGAAAAAUGGCCAUGACAUUUAAUUGGAAGCUUGCUUUUGUAGCUCUUCUAGUGUUGGGAAUGCAGGCUUCUCAAGCCACAUCUCGCGGCUUGUAUGAAACAUCAAUUGUCAAGAAACACGAGCAGUGGAUGGCUCGCUUUGGGCGUGUGUACAAAGAUGAUGUAGAGAAGGCAAAAAGAUUCAAAAUUUUCAAGGACAACACUGAGUACAUUGAUUC